rnacentral:rRNA from 1 species
AGCGCAGGUGGGAAGACAAGUUGGAAGUGAAAUCCAUGGGCUCAACCCAUGAACUGCUUUCAAAACUGUUUUUCUUGAGUAGUGCAGAGGUAGGCGGAAUUCCCGGUGUAGCGGUGGAAUGCGUAGAUAUCGGGAGGAACACCAGUGGCGAAGGCGGCCUACUGGGCACCAACUGACGCUGAGGCUCGAAAGUGUGGGUAGCAAACA